rnacentral:rRNA from 1 species
GCACAUUGCUUUGCAACACGGUAUAACCGUAGUAACUCUAUGGCUAAUACGAGUAAAAGACUCUCUUAAUUGAGAGGUGCAUAUUAGCACAAAACCUCUUUUGGUUGAAUCAUAAUAUUUCUCUGAUCGUCCCUGACGACAUGCCAUUCAAGUUUCUACCCUAUCAGCUUUCGACGGUAGACUAUUGGCCUACCGUGGCUUUGACGGGUAACGGGGAAUCAAGGUUCGGUUCCGGAAAGGCAGCCUGAGAAACGGCUACCACAUCCACGGUAGGCAGCAGGCGCGCUAAUUACCCAAUUCUGACUCAGAGAGGUAGUGACAAGAAAUAACGAUCGGCAGCAACAUUGUUGCCAAUUCGGAAUGAGAACAACGUAAAUCCCUUAUCGAUAAACAAGCGGUGGGCAAGCCUGGUGCCAGCAGCCGCGGUAAUACCAGCACCGCUAACGUAUACUAAAAUUGUUGCUGUUAAAAAGCUCGUAGUUGGAUAUCAGCCAGACAGGUGUUGACCAUCCCUUAUACGGGAGUGGGUCAUGAGCCUUCAGGCUUAUUUCAGGUUGGCGCUCUGCCCAUUCAUCUGGGUGGGUCUCCGCUUCCUGAUCAUUUACUUUGAAAAAAUUUAAAGCGCGCAAAGCAGGCUUUUGCCUGAAUGCAUUAACAUGGAAUAAUACAAAACGACUUUGGCGUCGCCCCUCGGGGUGAUAAUUUAUUGGUUUUGAACCAGAGUAAUGAUUGAUAGGAACGAUUGGGGGUGCUAGUAUCGCCGGGCCAGGGCUAAAAUUCUUUAAUUCCGGUGAGACUAACUUAUUCGAAAGCAUUCACCAAGGGCGUUUCCUUGAAUCAAGAACUAAAGAUCGGGGAUCGAAGACGAUCAGAUACCGUCUUAGUCCGAACUAUAAACUAUGUCGACUAAGAGUUGGGGGCCAUACUUCCCCAGAUCUUAAUGAGAAAUCAAAGUUUCUGGACUCAGGGGAGGUAUGCUCGCAAGUGUUAAACUUAAAGGAUUUGACGGAAAGGCACCACCAGAUGUGGAGCCUGCGGCUUAAUUUGACUAAACACGGGAAUACUUACCAGGUCCAGACAUAGUAAGGAUUGACAGAUUGAAGUUCUUUCAUGAUUCUAUGCAUGGUGGUGCAUGGCCGUUUUAGUCGGUGGAGUGAUUUGUCUGGUUAAUUAUGAUAAUGGACGAGACCUCAGCCAUUUAACUAGCUGACCCUAUGUAAAACUAGGGGGUACCUGGCACGACAGCUUCUUAGCGGGACAAUUUGUGUUUAGCAAAUGGAAGUUAGAGGCAAUAACAGGUCAGUGAUGCCCUUAGAUGCUCUGGGCUGCACGCGCACUACAAUGGCUCAUUCAACGAGUAGCUGACUUGCGAAAGUUUGGCCAAUCUCAAAAGUGAGUCGUAGUUGGGAUAGAUGAUUGCAAUUGUUCAUCUUGAACAAUGAAUAUCUCGUAAACGCAGGUCAUCAACCUGCAUUGAUUACGUCCCUGCCUUUUGUACACACCACCCGUCGCUUCUACCGAUUGAAUAAUCCGGUGAACUAGGUGGAUAUGGCGGCCUUUCCUUCGGGCCUGGCAGCUGUAG